ensembl:lncRNA
CCCCUCCCCCUCUCUCCCCCCCCCCUCAGCGUGUUAAGGUGUCCUCAUAUCAGGCCCUGCUCGUCUCUCUCCCCCUCCCCCCUCAGCGUGUUAAGGUGUCCUCAUAUCAGGCCCUGCUCGUCUCUCUCCCCCCACCAUCCUCCCAUUGAAUCAAACGGCUACACGUGUGUGUGUGUGUGUGUGUGUGGGCAUUUGUGUGUGCGUGUACAUGUUAGCGCUUGUGUGCGUGUCUGUGUGUGUGUGUGUGUGUGUUAAUGUGUGUGUACAUGUGUUAAGUGUGUGUGUGUGUGUGUGUUACAGUGUGUGUGUGUGUUACAGUGUGUGUGUGUGUGUGUGUGUGUUACAGUGUGUGUGUGUGUGUGUUACAGUGUGUGUGUGUGUGUGUGUGUGUGUGUUACAGUGUGUGUGUGUGUGUGUUGUGUGUUGUGUGUGUGUGUUACAGUGUGUGUUACAGUGUGUGUGUUGUGUGUGUGUGUGUGUGUGUGUUACAGUGUGUGUGUGUGUGUGUGUGUGUGUUACAGUGUGUGUGUGUGUGUGUGUGUGUGUGUGUGUGUGUGUGUGUGUGUGUGUGUUACAGUGUGUGUGUUACAGUGUGUGUGUGUGUGUGUGUGUUACAGUGUGUGUGUGUUACAGUGUGUGUGUUACAGUGUGUGUUACAGUGAGGC